rnacentral:lncRNA from 1 species
CUUCAUCCGGACUCCUACGGGAGCCAGACUUCAUCCCCGACUCCGACUGCAGGAAGACUUCGUCCGGACUCCUACGGGAGCCGGACUCCGCCCACGACUUCAAUUGCAGGAAGACUUCGUUCGAACUCCUAUGGGAGCCGGACUUCGCCCUCGACUUCAAUUGCAGGAAGACUUCGUCCGGACUCCUACGGGAGCCGGACUUCAUCUCCGACAA